UCGCUAUUAAAUAAUUCACUUUCCACAUC
rnacentral:sRNA from 1 species